rnacentral:tRNA from 1 species
GCUAGCGUGGCAGAGCUUGGUAAAUGCAAAAGGCUUAAGCCCUUUACCCAGAGGU